CGCGGAGCCCCUCCGCACCCGCACCUUGGACCCUGCAGCCCCGGAGCCCUGAAGCGCCUUCCCCGGAGCCAGAGGGUCUUUGCUCACAGAGAAGAAACCUGGUCCCUGUUCUGAGGAACCCCGGAUUUACAGGCAUGCACCACAGAAAGUCAAUCCCUUCUUUGAAAUAACCAGUCAAGCCAAGGACACCCCAGGACAAGUGACUCCUAUGAUUUCAGUGGGCUUCCUUUUGAUGGGCAAUAGAGUCAGACACUACUGGAGCCCUGGUGACACAGGAUUUAGAAAGCUUGGAAACACACCAGCUGCUUCGUGUGGAGAUUUAUUACCCAUGAGACUCUGGGCCAGUGGGGCUUUGCCCUAUAAAGUCACUGAGUUAGAACUGACUUGCCAGCAAUGGUCUGUUGUUUGUAUGUUUGUUUGUUUGCAGGCUGGUUGGAGGACAGCACUGCAUUUACUAUCUGUUACUUUGAGCAAGCUACUAACCUCCAAGCCAGUUUCCAACAACAUCAAAUAAAAACUAAUAAAAUUUAAAACUUA